rnacentral:lncRNA from 1 species
AAAAAAAAUUGUUGCACGCUCACACACACACAUAUAUUAGAACUUUUUGAGAAUGGGAUAAUCCUGGCUUAACUAAACACACGAAACAGAGACCUUUAAUCGCUAAUAUAUCUGUAUUGGAUUCUGAAUGGCUAGCGUUCUUGUGAUCGACCAAGAGGAGCCAAAAUAUCUCAAUCAGUCUAAUAAUGUAUGAUUUGUGAAACCCUGUAACUUGAAGUACGACGGAAGGAGCAAGGGGGCCGGGGGAGGUGGUCCUCCUCUUAUGUUCUUAUCAGCCGCGGGAAGCUGAUGCCUCUAUGUAUACAGCGCUUCUGAUGAAAUGUACUACGUUUUGCUUUCUGUUGCACGACCAUUGGGGAGUUGAAGAUGACAUGAAUAUAUGGAUUGAAUUGAAUAUGUUUGGUACAGAGAGAACUUGAUGUACGGAGUCCGCCGGGAAAAAAACCUAAAAAAAUCAUUGCCGACAAUAAGGCCAGAGGGAGAGUUCAAGAGGGACUCCGCUUCUAGUAACCUAGUAGGACUCAUAUUCGAGAAUGGGAUAACUACUACAGGUAGGUAGAGGGAUAACUUCGGACUCCUUCAUGACUAUUCUAAAGAGCUCUCUAAAUAAUGAAUGAAAGAACCAAAAAAGGUACAAUAGACAAUCCUGUCAUUCCUUUAUUCCUUCUUACCUCCCAACUGACUUGAGCGUUAGAGUCACAACGGGGAGCUAGUCUCGCUGUUCGACUCAUUGCAGGUCAGUUCGGAACCUUAGUCGAUACCCUGUUCGGAUCGCGAUCUCGACAUAUUCAUCGCAAUCUAAUGUAUAAAAAAAAAAAUUGUUGCACUGAUACACGUGAACGGGGUUACGUAAGUUUAGGGGCUGCAUGUGCGUGCAUGGGGUUUGCAUGGAGGGCCACAGCUGGGUUUUGUUGCAGUUAGUUACUGAAAGUUGUUACAGUUAGUUAGUACUGAUUUGUAAGAUUCUUAUGACAUCAGCAGAUGUCAUAAGUUUGUUAGCCGGUUAUAAGCUCACCGUCUUAGCACUUAUAAAAGGCGAAGAUGGGCACCAGUAGAAGACAGACAAAAUCUGGGAAAUUUGUUAUAUCGGCACUUUCCAUUUCUUCUGUAAUCUUUCCUUCUUUAUUCAAGUCAAUAAAGUUCUCUUGGCUUUCGGAUUACUUCUCCGCCAGUUUUUGUAAUUCCUAAGUCAGAGAUUGAGGACCUCUACUGUCCUUUGCAUCAGUGGUAUCAGAGCUGGGUUACGCCAGCUCCAAUCAUCGAUGGCAGAGGGCACUAGGUCUCAGGAUGUCAGGAAAAUGGAGGAACAAGUCAGAGCUUUGCUGAAGGAGCAGCAGGAGCAAUUUGAGAGGGAAAUGGCGGCUCUGCGGAAUUUGGUGAUCGAGCUUCACACACAGAAGGCUCAGGGCGAGGGGAACAGCUCUCCUCACCAUUCGGAUACUCCAACAAGUAGCAGGGGAGGAUAUCAAGUUCCUUCGCGACUGUCACGUAUUGACUUCCCGAAAUUCAACGGGGAGGACUUCCGAGGAUGGUUGUACAAGAGCGAGCAGUUUUUUGAAGUGGAUGGCACUCCUGGCUCAGUCAAGGUCAAAAUAGCGGCCAUGAAUUUGGAAGGUAAGGCUCUUCAAUGGCACCAAAUUUUCAUGAAAUCUAGGCUUACUCGUGAACCCCCUGUGUGGGAAGAAUACGUAAGGGAGCUGUCCUCAAGGUUUGGCGAUUCCCUGUACGACGAUCCAAUGGGCGAAUUGAAGAGCUUGAAGCAGUCUGGGACAGUACAAGACUACCACGAUCUGUUUGAAGAACUACUCAACAGAGUGGACCUCCCAGAAGAUUACGCUACAAGUUGUUUUCUGAGCGGGUUGAAGCCCGAAAUCCAGUUGACUGUACGGAUGUUCAUGCCUAAAAGUGUGCAACAUGCCAGAAUUCUGGCCAAGAUCGAAGAAGCAAAGAUAUCAGUACAAUCGAAUGGAAAGGUGACACCCAAACCUUUCACGAAUUAUUAUGAUCGCACUGGUACCACACCAAUCCAUGUGAAUGCUCUUAAGCCUAAAUGGAAGACGGACUCUAAGGCAGUGCUGCCCCUGCCUACGUUUCCAGCACUCCCUAGCAAUGAAAGACAAAAGGAGCUAGUUGUUAGGAGGCCUUUCAGGAAAUUGAGUAGGGCAGAAAUGGAUGAAAAAAGGGCACGAGGACUUUGUUUCUGGUGCGAUGAGAGGUUUACUGCUGGGCAUAGGUGCGGGAGUAAGCAAUUCCACCGACUGGAGGUUUGGGAUGAUGAAUCAGAUAAGGAUGAGACGGAAACAGAUGAGGAAGGGGGUACGGUCGAUGAGGGACAGUUAGCUCAUAUUUCCCUCAAUGCCAUGACUAACAUGACUGUUCCUAAUUUCAGGACAAUGAGGGUCACUGGGCAUGUGGGAAGGCAGUCUGUGAACAUUUUCAUAGACUGUGGUAGCUCACAUAAUUUUAUCCACCCCAAGGUUGCACAAAAGCUGGGAUUAAGUACACGGCAGGUUGACCCCCUAAUUGUAGAAGUAGCAGACGGAAACAAGUUGACUACUCGUGAACUCUGUUCAGGUUUCACCUGGAAAAUGCAGGGGCAAGAGUUUAAGGCCGACUUGUUGGUACUACCUGUGGGUGGAUGCGAAGUAGUAUUGGGAAUGCAGUGGUUAACCACCAUUGGGGACGUGAAAUGGAACUUUAGGGAUCUCAGGAUGGAGUUCUUGUCGGAUGGCCACAAGGUGGUCUUGAGGGGAAUGAAGCAACAUGGGCUACAGUUGGUGAAACAGAGAAAAAUGCAGAGGCUACUCCAAAAGCCUGAACAAAUUGCAGGAGCUCAAAUCUGCCUAAUCAGGAUGAUCCAAGAGCCGGAGCCAGAACCAUUACCUCUUUCUAGUAUUGCUGUAGGAACCAGUGGUGAGCAGGUUAGUCAAUCGUUGGGUCUGGAUUCUUUGUUAAAUGAAUAUGAUGAUUUGUUUCAAGAACCAAAUGGCUUACCUCCUGAAAGAUUGCAUGAUCAUAGAAUUGUUUUAAAAGAAGGUACGGAACCUAUCAAUGUAAGACCUUAUAGGUAUCCGGCCUUCCAGAAGGGAGAAAUUGAAAAAUUGAUCGCUGAAAUGCUUGUGUGUGGGCUCAUCAGAGCUAGCUCUAGUCCAUUCUCUUCACCAGUAGUUUUGGUGAAAAAGAAGGAUGGGUCCUGGCGAAUGUGUGUUGACUAUAGGCAGCUAAACAAUGCCACAAUAAAGAAUAAAUUUCCCAUUCCUUUAAUAGAAGAGUUGUUGGAUGAACUUUUUGGAGCUAAGUUCUUCACCAAAUUAGAUUUGAGGUCUGGUUAUCACCAGAUUAGAAUGAAAACUGAAGAUGUGGAGAAGACAGCCUUUAGAACUCACGAUGGCCACUAUGAGUUUCUAGUUAUGCCCUUUGGGCUAACUAAUGCUCCUUCAACAUUUCAAGGUCUAAUGAAUGACAUUUUUAGGCCAUUCUUGCGGAAGUUUAUUUUGGUUUUCUUUGAUGACAUUUUGGUAUACAGUGGCGGUUGGGAGGAGCACCUGCAGCAUCUGAGUGUGGUGUUUGAACUACUGAGAAGUCAUGAACUGAAGGUAAAAAGAAGUAAAUGUGCUUUUGCUCAGCAGCAAAUUGACUAUUUGGGGCAUAUUAUCAAUGCAGAAGGCGUCCAAGCUGAUCCCAAGAAAACUGAUGCCAUUCGGAGUUGGCCACUGCCGCAGACAGUCAAGGAAUUGAGAGGAUUUCUGGGUCUCACUGGGUAUUAUAGGAGGUUCAUACGAGAUUAUGGUAAAAUUACAAAGCCUUUAACUGACUUGCUUAAAAAGAAUCAGUUUCAGUGGCACGAUGGAGCUACUCAAGCUUUUAAGAAGUUGCAGGAAGUUAUGAGUAGCCCCCCUGUCCUAGCUCUGCCAGAUUUUAGCCAGGAAUUCAUCGUGGAGACAGAUGCAUCUGGGAAUGGGAUUGGGGCGGUGUUAAUGCAAAAAAGGAAACCGCUAGCUUUCUUCAGCAAGUCAUUGGGGUCCAAGCAUCAAGCUCUAUCAGUAUACGAAAAGGAAAUGUUAGCCAUAGUCACUGCCAUUUUGAAGUGGAGAGCUUACUUGGUGGGAAGGCAUUUCGUCAUUAAAACGGACCAUCAGAGCUUGAAGUACAUUAUUGAACAAAGGGUACAUACACCACUGCAACAGAAAUGGAUAGCCAAGCUGAUGGGGUAUGACUAUGAAAUACAAUAUAAGAAGGGGAGUGACAACGUUGUGGCAGAUGCAUUAUCCAGGCAACCUCAGGAGGGCAGUUCUCUAUGUACCAUGGUCACUAUCACAACGUCCUUGAUCAGGGACAUACAGCAGAGUUGGCAACAGGAUGCAGUAGUUCAGGACUUGAUCCAGAGGUUAGCCAAUAAUGGUCCGUGCUCGAGCAACUACUCGUGGCACCAGGGAGUGUUAAAGAGGAAGGGAAAACUGGUGGUUGGCAAUGACCCGUCUUUAAGGGGCAGAUUGAUUACCUUGUGGCAUUCGAGCUCACAAGGGGGGCAUUCUGGAAUUGAGGUAACGUACAGGAGGCUUAAGCAGAUCUUGUACUGGCCAUUCAUGUUCAAGGAUGUGGCUCAUUUUGUAGCAGCAUGCGACAUCUGCCAAAGAAAUAAACCAGAUAAUGUAGCUUAUCCGGGCUUAUUACAACCUCUACCCAUACCUCAGAGGAUCUGGUCUGACAUCUCUAUGGAUUUUAUCGAAGGCUUACCUCUCUCACAUGGCAAGAAGGUGAUUUUCGUGGUGGUCGAUAGGCUCAGUAAAUAUGCCCACUUCAUGGCCGUAGCUCAUCCUUACACAGCCAUCUCCAUUGCACAGCUCUUCAUGGACCAGGUUUACAGGUUGCAUGGUCUUCCCCAGACCAUUGUUAGUGAUCGAGACCCCAUCUUUCUAAGCUCCUUCUGGCGAGAAAUUUUCAGGUUGCAGCAGGUUCAGUUGAACAUGUCUUCUUCUUAUCACCCUCAGAGCGACGGUCAGACAGAGGUAGUCAACAGAUGUCUGGAGAACUAUUUAAGAUGUAUGACGGGUGACCAUCCCAGAGAAUGGAGUUCGUGGUUGCCAAUGGCAGAGUACUGGUAUAACACAAAUUUCCAUUCUUCUGCUAAGUUCACUCCAUAUGAAAUUGUCUAUGGGCAGCCGGCCCCUCUUCACAUUCCAUACCUACCUGAGGCCACAGCAUGUGCUUCCGUGGAUAGGAGCUUACAAGCUAGGGAGAAGGUCAUUCACUCCUUGAGACAUAAUCUGUCCAAGGCUCAACAUCGAAUGAAGCAGUUAGCUGAUAAGCAUAGGUCGGAGAGGGAACUUGCGGUUGGUGACUGGGUUUAUGUGAAACUUCAGCCUUACAGACAGCAUUCCCUACGUUCUCACCACUGUCAGAAGCUGUCACCUCGCUACUUUGGUCCAUUUCAGGUGUUGGCAAGGAUAGGAGCAGUGGCCUACAAGUUAGCUUUACCUUCGCAUGCCCGUAUCCAUGACACAUUCCAUAUCUCCUUGCUCAAAAAGAAGGUUGGCACAGGGGGCACUCAAGCUCAGAUUCCCGCAGGAAUUACACACCAAGGACAGAUGUUGGCAGAGCCCAUAGCUGUUCUUGACAGACGUCUGGUCAAGCGUGGGCGAGUUGCGGCUACACAGGUGCUGGUUCAAUGGAGUAACAGCUUUCCCGAAGAUGCAACUUGGGAGUACUUGCAGGACUUGCGGCUACAGUUCCCUCAUUUCAAUCCUUGAGGACAAGGAUUGUUUUGAGAGGCGGGUAUUGAUACACGUGAACGGGGUUACGUAAGUUUAGGGGCUGCAUGUGCGUGCAUGGGGUUUGCAUGGAGGGCCACAGCUGGGUUUUGUUGCAGUUAGUUACUGAAAGUUGUUACAGUUAGUUAGUACUGAUUUGUAAGAUUCUUAUGACAUCAGCAGAUGUCAUAAGUUUGUUAGCCGGUUAUAAGCUCACCGUCUUAGCACUUAUAAAAGGCGAAGAUGGGCACCAGUAGAAGACAGACAAAAUCUGGGAAAUUUGUUAUAUCGGCACUUUCCAUUUCUUCUGUAAUCUUUCCUUCUUUAUUCAAGUCAAUAAAGUUCUCUUGGCUUUCGGAUUACUUCUCCGCCAGUUUUUGUAAUUCCUAAGUCAGAGAUUGAGGACCUCUACUGUCCUUUGCAUCAUGCACGCUCACACACACACAUAUAUUAGAACUUUUUGAGAAUGGGAUAAUCCUGGCUUAACUAAACACACGAAACAGAGACCUUUAAUCGCUAAUAUAUCUGUAUUGGAUUCUGAAUGGCUAGCGUUCUUGUGAUCGACCAAGAGGAGCCAAAAUAUCUCAAUCAGUCUAAUAAUGUAUGAUUUGUGAAACCCUGUAACUUGAAGUACGACGGAAGGAGCAAGGGGGCCGGGGGAGGUGGUCCUCCUCUUAUGUUCUUAUCAGCCGCGGGAACCUGAUGCCUCUAUGUAUACAGCGCUUCUGAUGAAAUGUACU